GUGAACUCAGCGUUUGUCUACGUAUUGGUGCGAGAAGGUGGGGUUCACGGACAAUUCAUUAAAUCUUGGUGGGCAGAGGGUCAUCCCGUAACCUGUAAAAUGUUCCCUAUUGCAAGAGUAGCGACUGGGGUGCGCCAGCUCUCCACAUCGGCUGUCCGGCGCGCGGGAGUUGCCGAUUAUGGCGGCAUCCCGAUGGCGAACUGGCCUUUCAGCGUAAAGAACAGAUUUGCCCUCACUCUGGGCUUCAUCCUGUUCUGCGGCAGUGGAUUUUCAGUCCCCUUUGUCAUGGUCAGACAUCAGCUGUUGAAAAAGUAAAGACACCAGUGGACCAAAUGCUGCAGUAAAUCUGCCUCCGGUGGGUUCCGGAUGAAUGGGAGCUCCGUGAAUGUGAACAUAUUACCCACUCAUUGAAAAUGAUUGUGUAAUAAUACAUGUGAAUAGAACCGUG